AGUGGAUUGUCUCCCAGGAAGGUGAAUGUUGAACACACAAGGAGAACACUGUGACCCCUCUCUGCAGUUGUCACUCUGGGCUGUCCUUACUCUAGGACACAGACAUAAAGAGAAGUCAGUCACCUUCCUCAGGGACUGUCACCCAAGGACACAAAUCCACCAGCAGGCAGGAUACUGGAGUACUGGCAACUUAAGGCUCAAGCAGAGGUCUGCAUCUCUUUGUAUAGCCAUGCCCUUCUCAUCAGAUGGGAUUUAUCUACUUUAUCACAAUGGCUCUCCUUUUCCAACUUGUUGGUUCAGAACCCACCAUCCUCUUUGUAAAGAGAGAUAUUGUGGUCAGGUUGUAGAAACAAGAAGGGAGAAGUUUUGGCAUAUGCCCCCUGAAGAGAUAUUCUACAUUAGAUUAAACCCUUCUGCAUACAUAAUCAGAGUUCCUGGGGAAGUGGGGGAGCCCAAAUUUUCUUACACCCUUACAGAAGCAUGAGGUGUGUCUGUGUAACUGGAAAGGCUGGAGGUGAAUGAGGAGAGACCUAUUCUCUGGGAUCACCUGUCUCUGCCUCGGGAGUGCUAGGAUUGCAAGUGUCCUAAGGUGUCUGUCUGACAUUUCCCUGGGUUCUGUGGGUCUGAACUCCCUUUCUCACACUUGUAUGGCUGGUGAGUGCUUUGCCUACUGAGCCAUCUUUAUAGUUUCCAAAGCUUGGAUACUUUUAAAGAGUGUAAAUCAUUUCCAAACCCAAAUGAGGAGUGCCAGCUGGGUCAGGGAUCCUCAGGAACAUUCCAGUGGAGAAGGGGACUGCGAUCACAUUGGAGAGAAACAGAGACGAGUUCAGAGCAGGACAUUUGUUAGCUCCUAAUGGAGGCCGAGAGGGGACAUGGUUGAUGAAGGCAAUCUUGAACAUGUUUAAAUGUCUGUGGAAGAUAGACAAGGGAGGGGACAAAUGUCGAACUGAGGUCUCCAAGAAGGCAGGAGAGGACAGGGAUGGGAAUCUGCUUUGAAGAUCUACCUUUGUAUACUCCGAAAGGACAGCCUCAAGUUUAAUUCAGUGUACACGGGCAGAAAUGGUUGAGCUUGACACUGUGUGGGAAAUGAAAUGGGAACAUACUACUUUAACUUUACUAGGAAUGGCUCAAUGGACGAGGGAAGGCUCGAACGAUUUACUAUUGACAGUGGAUGUUUUAUGUCCCAAGAGAAGUAUGUGCAGCAG
rnacentral:lncRNA from 1 species